GAUGAAGAACGUAGCGAAAUGCGAUACUUGGUGUGAAUUGCAGAAUCCCGUGAACCAUCGAGUCUUUGAACGCAAGUUGCGCCCGAAGCCUCGGCUAAGGGCACGUCUGCCUGGGCGUCACGCAUCGCGUCUCCCCCAAACCGCCAAGGCGGAGGGGAAGGUAGAUGGCUUCCCGUGCCUCACCCGGGCGCGGUUGGCCUAAAUUUGGAGCCCGCGGCACUUAGCUCUCGCGGCGAUAGGUGGUGAACAAGGCCUUGGCCGUGCAAACAACCCGCUGCGAAGCUCUAUGUCACGUGCGCUCGUCGGACCCUUUGAAGUUGCCUUUGGUGACUUAAAACCUUUGCGACCCCAGGUCAGGCGGGGCUACCCGCUGAAUUUAAGCAUAUCAAUAAGCGGAGGA
rnacentral:misc_RNA from 1 species